rnacentral:rRNA from 1 species
AACGAACGCUGGCGGCAUGCCUAACACAUGCAAGUCGAACGAGACCUUCGGGUCUAGUGGCGCACGGGUGCGUAACGCGUGGGAACCUGCCCUUAGGUUCGGAAUAACUCCCCGAAAGGGGUGCUAAUACCGGAUAAUGUCUUCGGACCAAAGAUUUAUCGCCUUUGGAUGGGCCCGCGUUGGAUUAGCUAGUUGGUAGGGUAAAAGCCUACCAAGGCGACGAUCCAUAGCUGGUCUGAGAGGAUGAUCAGCCACACUUGGACUGAGACACGGCCCAGACUCCUACGGGAGGCAGCAGUGGGGAAUAUUGGACAAUGGGCGAAGGCCUGAUCCAGCAAUGCCGCGUGAGUGAUGAAGGCCUUAGGGUUGUAAAGCUCUUUUACCCGGGAUGAUAAUGACAGUACCGGGAGAAUAAGCGCCGGCUAACUCCGUG